CUGCAAUCUUACUAGUCGAACUGCAUUUCUCUAGAAACUGAUCCUGAGACUUCUACAAGAUGUAACAUGGCUCAAACUGUCUUUCUACAGAACAAGAAAACUGUCCACGAAUGGUGCUGACUCAUGGGGAGAGGCUAGGAUCUGGCUGUUCCAGUCCAGGACCAGAUGAGAGUUUGAUUAAACUGUAACUAAAAACAGAGAGAUGUGGUCACUACUUCCUGCCAGGCUCCCUGUCGUUAAUAGUCAGACUACCAACCAAGCCUUGGUAAUACAGUACCUGGAGACCCGGUUCAGAUGAGAUGCAGCUUCGCUCUGCAACUGUCUCCUCCUGAAUGGACGCCCCCAAGUUGUUUGCAUCUUCUGUCCUGGGCGUCAGUGUUUCCCUUCUCGGCCAGCAGCGGAGCUCGGGCUGGCCUUCUGGUGAUGCCCCACAGCUGCUGCUUGCUCUUCGGGGUCCCCCUGGGCAGCGGAACACCUUGGUUCCUCCCAAGGUCUCUCCACAUUGUUCUCUGCUGCUACAUUUCCUCAAGUUUUAUGUAAAUUGAAGCAUCCAGUAAGUGGUCUUUUUUUUUCUCUGUACUUUUCGUAUUACAUAGAAGUCCUUAUUUUACGAAGAUAAUAUUUUUCCUAGAAAUUUUAUUGUUUGAAUUUACUUUGGCUCCUGCCUGAUUUUUAAGUUAAUUAACAUUUGUAUGUGUUACAAAGUGUAAGUUGAUGAUCACUUUUUUUGUUUAUGGCUAUGCAGUUAUUGUGUUACCACUUGUGGAAAGACUAUAGAUCAAUUAAUUUCUGAUACAUAAAAGUUUUAUAAUGAAGACUACUGUGAGCAUUAUUUGUCCUGCACUUAUAAUACUGAAAUUUGGGCUAGGGAAUGUCUUUUCCAUUGAUCAAAAUGUAAUUAUUGCUAGAAACUCCCAAGAGAAUUUGUAUUCUUCCCAUUUUGUAACCUAAUAAAAACAUGUUGGAUAAGUAUCAAUUCAGCAAAAAUCCGAAAGAGAAAUAGCUAAGGAAAUUGGAAAUAAAAUAUUUUCUGAAUGUUUAUUAAUAAAAUAUAAAAUAAUAUAAGGUAUAGUAUAUUGCAAUAUAGUAUUGUAUAAAAUAUAAAAUAAAUGUGAUUAUUUGUAUGGUCACUAUACCCACCAUGAUUAUUUCAAAAUGUAUUUAAUACAUAUUUUAAUAUAUUCAGCUUGAAAAUUAAUGACCAAAUUUUAAUAAUUUCAUGUUUAUAUUUCAUAAAAAUAUUACUUGAACUAUGUUAAAAUAUUCUGUUGAAUUGUUAAGACAGCAAAUAAAAUGUUUUCCCAGAAAUAUACUUAAUUAUCAG